rnacentral:rRNA from 1 species
AGAGUUUGAUUCCUGGCUCAGAUUGAACGCUGGCGGCAGGCUUAACACAUGCAAGUCGAGCGGAAACGAUGAUAGCUUGCUAUCAGGCGUCGAGCGGCGGACGGGUGAGUAAUACUUAGGAAUCUACCUAGUAGUGGGGGAUAGCACGGGGAAACUCGUAUUAAUACCGCAUACGACCUACGGGAGAAAGGGGGCAGUUUACUGCUCUCGCUAUUAGAUGAGCCUAAGUCGGAUUAGCUAGAUGGUGGGGUAAAGGCCUACCAUGGCGACGAUCUGUAGCUGGUCUGAGAGGAUGAUCAGCCACACCGGGACUGAGACACGGCCCGGACUCCUACGGGAGGCAGCAGUGGGGAAUAUUGGACAAUGGGGGAAACCCUGAUCCAGCCAUGCCGCGUGUGUGAAGAAGGCCUUUUGGUUGUAAAGCACUUUAAGCAGUGAAGAAGACUCCGUGGUUAAUACCCACGGACGAUGACAUUAGCUGCAGAAUAAGCACCGGCUAACUCUGUGCCAGCAGCCGCGGUAAUACAGAGGGUGCAAGCGUUAAUCGGAAUUACUGGGCGUAAAGGGAGCGUAGGUGGCUCUAUAAGUCAGAUGUGAAAUCCCCGGGCUCAACCUGGGAACUGCAUCUGAAACUGUAGAGCUAGAGUAUGUGAGAGGAAGGUAGAAUUCCAGGUGUAGCGGUGAAAUGCGUAGAGAUCUGGAGGAAUACCGAUGGCGAAGGCAGCCUUCUGGCAUAAUACUGACACUGAGGCUCGAAAGCGUGGGUAGCAAACAGGAUUAGAUACCCUGGUAGUCCACGCCGUAAACGAUGUCUACUAGUCGUUGGGUCCCUUGAGGACUUAGUGACGCAGCUAACGCAAUAAGUAGACCGCCUGGGGAGUACGGCCGCAAGGUUAAAACUCAAAUGAAUUGACGGGGGCCCGCACAAGCGGUGGAGCAUGUGGUUUAAUUCGAUGCAACGCGAAGAACCUUACCUGGUCUUGACAUAUCUAGAAUCCUGCAGAGAUGCGGGAGUGCCUUCGGGAAUUAGAAUACAGGUGCUGCAUGGCUGUCGUCAGCUCGUGUCGUGAGAUGUUGGGUUAAGUCCCGCAACGAGCGCAACCCUUGUCCUUAGUUACCAGCGGGUUAAGCCGGGAACUCUAAGGAUACUGCCAGUGACAAACUGGAGGAAGGCGGGGACGACGUCAAGUCAUCAUGGCCCUUACGACCAGGGCUACACACGUGCUACAAUGGUAGGUACAGAGGGCAGCUACACAGCGAUGUGAUGCGAAUCUCAAAAAGCCUAUCGUAGUCCAGAUUGGAGUCUGCAACUCGACUCCAUGAAGUAGGAAUCGCUAGUAAUCGCGGAUCAGAAUGCCGCGGUGAAUACGUUCCCGGGCCUUGUACACACCGCCCGUCACACCAUGGGAGUUGAUUGCACCAGAAGUGGAUAGCUUAACCUUCGGGGAGGCGUUCACCACGGUGUGGUUGAUGACUGGGGUGAAGUCGUAACAAGGUAGCCGUAGGGGAACCUGCGGCUGGAUCACCUCA